CCAACCACUACGCCAGUGAAAGGAGCAGCCAGCAGCAGCCCAGCAGCAAGGCCCUCAACAUCAACACCAACCACACACACACUGAACGAAACACAGAGCUGGCCAGAGAUGUACUUUAUUAACCACAACAACAUGUCUGCAGGGGCAUGAGUCAGGCUGGAUACACACUCUGCAUCAAGCGAUGGCUGAGUUGAUAAGUGCUUUGAUAUAGUUAAGAGGUUUUGAGUUAUCAUAGUUAAGCCAGAGACAAAACCAAAUUCAUUAACAUGUGACACCACGGACCUGGGUAUGUGUUCUAACAAUCUCUCACUGCAUCACCAACAAAGGUUUUCCCACAUUAUUCUGCAUGCAAAAAUACUUUCCCUUGCACAAAACCAAAUUGAAUUUCUGUCCGUGUGUGACCUGACUUAGAGCCACUCACCACAGGAAAGCAUAUGAGCAAGGGUUGCAACAGAAUUUGAAUAAUUUCUAAAUGAAGUUAACUAUAUAAAUCUCUAUUGAGUCACUUUAGCAGAUGCUUUAGUCAAGGUGUAUAAACAGUGAGUUCAGAAACAUGUCAUUAAGGAGCAGGUAGGGGUUAGCGGCAGCUCGCUCAAGGACUCCAUGACAGUCAGGCUGUGGAGGGUGGACAUUGGGGUUGGAACCCUGACGUAAAUUAUUUUAGUCUAUGUUAUUUCUGAUGACAUAUGUCAAGCUAACAACAGUUAUGAAUGGUUUCUUCACCACAUAAUGGACCGCACCAUAUAAGGUUUUAAUGAUUUUAAAGAUAAGUUAAAGACUACAAACAUGGCCACUUUGUCAUUUCCGUUUAAGCCGAGACAGACCAAAGGUUUACCUGGGUCAGUUAGAACAUGUAGGCGUGGCCUAUUUACCGCUCCGCCCACUCCCAAUAUAACUGUUUAUUUACCUGUGUUCGGGAGAUGCUUCAUGAACCACCUCCAGAACGCAAGCCUGUUUACCUUGUGUCUCUGUUAGAAUGAACCACGUGUUGAACAUUUACCGCUCUCCGAGUCAUACCUAGCACAAGACGACCAUACCACGAAGGAUCAAAACAGUUUUUCCUCAAUAACCCACAACCAAUUUAUCUGGGAGUCAAACACCUCAACAAGUAGCAGACGACUUGUUCCAUGUUUCUCUUUGUUCUGUCAUUGAUUUUUAAAC